GCAUAUCAAAAAGCGGAGGAAAAGAAACCAACAGGGAUUGCCUUAGUAGCGGCGAGUGAAGCGGCAAAAGCUCAAAUUUGAAAUCUGGCACUUUCAGUGUCCGAGUUGUAAUUUGAAGAAGGUAUCUUUGGGUCUGGCUCUUGUCUAUGUUUCUUGGAACAGAACGUCACAGAGGGUGAGAAUCCCGUGCGAUGAGAUGUCCCAGACCUAUGUAAAGUUCCUUCGAAGAGUCGAGUUGUUUGGGAAUGCAGCUCUAAGUGGGUGGUAAAUUCCAUCUAAAGCUAAAUAUUGGCGAGAGACCGAUAGCGAACAAGUACAGUGAUGGAAAGAUGAAAAGAACUUUGAAAAGAGAGUGAAAAAGUACGUGAAAUUGUUGAAAGGGAAGGGCUUGAGAUCAGACUUGGUAUUUUGUAUGUUACUCUCUCGGGGGUGGCCUCUACAGUUUACCGGGCCAGCAUCAGUUUGAGCGGUAGGAUAAGUGCAAAGAAAUGUGGCACUGCUUCGGUAGUGUGUUAUAGUCUUUGUCGAUACUGCCAGCUUAGACUGAGGACUGCGGCUUCGGCCUAGGAUGUUGGCAUAAUGAUCUUAAGUCGCCCGUCUUGAAACACGGACC
rnacentral:rRNA from 1 species